UAAAAUAGUUUUUAUCUUGUUCUAGGUUCUACUUAACUGUUCAUGUGACUUCACUUAAUUGUACCAGGAUGGAUAAGGUGGCCAAACAUGGACCAAGUUUGCAACUUGUUUGUGGGUAUAUGGGGCCAACAGAGAGAGAAUAGGACUGCACCAACGUUUGAUGUCAAGUCUGUAGGCCCCUCCAUUUAAUCAAACCUGUAUGGGCAGAUUUAUCAAAGGGCGAAGUGGCCGUCGCUAGUGAAAAUUCGUCAGAAAUCCCAUCCUCACGGACAUCGCUAAUUUACUAAAAGGGGUAGAAGACAAUUCAAUACAACAGGUUUCUCCCUAACCCCUUGGAUGUUGCUCCUAGUGGCCUCGAAGCAGGUGCUUUAUUUUGAAUUCCUGGUUUGGAGGCAACUGCUUUGCAGGAUCAAGAACUGAGAACUGGGAAACCCUGCAUGGGUGGCAGCCAUCUUAGCCCAUCGUGCCUGAUCCUGUGUUUUCAGAAAAAGCAAGCAAUUCACAAUACAACUGCUUUCAGAUAA